rnacentral:rRNA from 1 species
AUGGUGAAGUUUACUGCGGAGGAGCUCCGCGGAAUUAUGGACAAGAAAAAUAAUAUUCGUAACAUGUCUGUUAUUGCUCAUGUCGACCACGGCAAGUCUACGCUUACGGAUUCCCUUGUGGCAGCUGCUGGGAUUAUCGCCCAGGAAGUUGCUGGGGAUGUUCGCAUGACCGAUACCCGUGCAGAUGAGGCAGAGCGUGGUAUUACAAUCAAAUCCACGGGUAUCUCUCUUUUCUAUCAGAUGACUCCUGAAUCACUUGAGAUGUACAAGGGCGACAGGGAUGGAGAUGAAUACCUGAUCAACCUUAUUGAUUCACCUGGCCACGUUGACUUUUCUUCGGAAGUCACAGCUGCUCUUCGUAUCACUGAUGGUGCUUUGGUGGUUGUUGACUGUAUUGAGGGUGUCUGUGUGCAGACCGAAACUGUGCUGCGCCAAGCUCUUGGUGAGAGGAUUAGGCCCGUCCUCACCGUGAACAAGAUGGACAGAUGCUUCCUUGAGCUUCAGUUUGAAGGUGAGGAAGCAUAUCAGACUUUCUCCCGUGUCAUCGAAAAUGCCAAUGUCAUCAUGGCAACAUAUGAAGAUGUGCUCCUUGGUGAUGUCCAAGUGUACCCAGAAAAGGGGACUGUUGCAUUCUCUGCUGGUUUGCAUGGGUGGGCUUUCACCCUUACAAACUUUGCUAAGAUGUAUGCCUCCAAGUUUGGUGUUGAUGAGGUGAAGAUGAUGGAGAGGCUGUGGGGUGAGAACUUCUUUGACCCAGCCACAAAGAAAUGGACCACCAAGAACACUGGGACAGCUACCUGCAAGAGAGGUUUUGUUCAGUUCUGCUAUGAGCCAAUCAAGCAAAUCAUCGCCACCUGCAUGAAUGAUCAGAAGGAUAAGUUGUGGCCUAUGUUGAAGAAGCUUGGUGUGACCAUGAAGAAUGAUGAGAAGGACUUGAUGGGAAAGGCUCUCAUGAAGCGUGUGAUGCAGACUUGGCUGCCUGCCAGUCGUGCUCUGCUUGAGAUGAUGAUAUUUCACCUCCCCUCUCCUUCAAAGGCACAGAGGUAUCGUGUGGAGAACUUAUACGAGGGCCCCCUUGAUGAUGUAUAUGCAAAUGCUAUCAGAAACUGUGACCCUGACGGUCCUCUUAUGCUGUAUGUCUCCAAGAUGAUUCCAGCAUCUGACAAGGGUAGAUUCUUUGCCUUUGGACGUGUUUUUGCCGGGAGGGUUGCAACUGGCAUGAAGGUCCGUAUCAUGGGUCCCAACUUUGUUCCUGGCCAGAAGAAGGAUCUGUAUGUGAAGAGUGUCCAGCGUACUGUUAUCUGGAUGGGAAAGAAGCAAGAAGAUUUGGUGCUUUGGACCUGA